UAGUCAUAUGCUUGUCUCAAAGAUUAACCCUUGCAUGUCUAAUUAUAAGCAAUCUAUACGGUGAAACUGCGAAGGGCUCAUUAAAUCGGUUAUCGUUUAUUUGAUAGUACCUUACUACUUGGAUAACCGUGGUAAUUCUAGAGCUAAUACAUGCUAAAAACCCCGACUUCGGAAGGGGUGUAUUUAUUAAAUAAAAAACCAAUGCCCUUCGGGGCUCCUUGGUGAUUCAUAAUAACUUAACGAAUCGCAUGGCCUUGUGCCGGCAAUGGUUCAUUCAAAUUUCUGCCCUAUCAACUUUCGAUUGUAAGGUAGUGGCUUACAAUGGUUUCAACGGGUAACGGGGAAUUAGGGUUCUAUUCCGGAAAGGGAGCCUGAAAAACGGCUACCACAUCCAAGGAAGGCAGCAGGCGCGCAAAUUACCCAAUCCCGACACGGGGAGGUAGUGACAAUAAAUACUGAUACAGGGCUCUUUUGGGUCUUGUAAUUGGAAUGAGUACAAUUUAAAUCCCUUAACGAGGAACAAUU
rnacentral:rRNA from 1 species